UCACACUUAAAUGUUAGUAGACAAAGGUGUGUUUGUAUUGUCUUUGAUUUUAGAGUCUCAAAGUUUUGAUACACAAGUGUCUAAAACGACCAAGCUUAUAUUUGCUUGAUUCACUUUUAAAAGAGAAUCAAAAUGACA